rnacentral:pre_miRNA from 1 species
CACGUACUCCCUUCAUUCGGAAAUACUUGUCAUUAAAAUGGAUAAAAAGGGAUGUAUCUAAACGUAUUUUAGUUUGAGAUACAUCUCUUUUUAUCCAUUUUGAUGACACGUAUUUUCGGACGGAGGGAGUAACAG